UUAAUUGAAACCAAAAUAGAGGUAUAUCACUGUUAAUGAUAAAAAUGGAAACAAUCCCGGUUAAG
rnacentral:tRNA from 1 species